rnacentral:rRNA from 2 species
AACGAACGCUGGCGGCAGGCUUAACACAUGCAAGUCGAGCGCCCCGGUAACGGGGAGCGGCAGACGGGUGAGUAACGCGUGGGAAUCUACCCAACCCUACGGAAUAACGCAUGGAAACGUGUGCUAAUACCGUAUACGCCCUUUUGGGGAAAGAUUUAUCGGGGAUGGAUGAGCCCGCGUUGGAUUAGCUAGUUGGUGGGGUAAAGGCCUACCAAGGCGACGAUCCAUAGCUGGUCUGAGAGGAUGAUCAGCCACAUUGGGACUGAGACACGGCCCAAACUCCUACGGGAGGCAGCAGUGGGGAAUAUUGGACAAUGGGCGCAAGCCUGAUCCAGCCAUGCCGCGUGAGUGAUGAAGGCCUUAGGGUUGUAAAGCUCUUUCACCGAUGAAGAUAAUGACGGUAGUCGGAGAAGAAGCCCCGGCUAACUUCGUG